UGUAUAAUGGGUCAGCGACUUAUAUUCUGUAGCAAGGUUAACCGUAUAGGGGAGCCGAAGGGAAACCGAGUCUUAACUGGGCGUUAAGUUGCAGGGUAUAGACCCGAAACCCGGUGAUCUAGCCAUGGGCAGGUUGAAGGUUGGGUAACACUAACUGGAGGACCGAACCGACUAAUGUUGAAAAAUUAGCGGAUGACUUGUGGCUGGGGGUGAAAGGCCAAUCAAACCGGGAGAUAGCUGGUUCUCCCCGAAAGCUAUUUAGGUAGCGCCUCGUGAACUCAUCUUCGGGGGUAGAGCACUGUUUCGGCUAGGGGGCCAUCCCGGCUUACCAACCCGAUGCAAACUACGAAUACCGAAGAAUGUUAUCACGGGAGACACACGGCGGGUGCUAACGUCCGUCGUGAAGAGGGAAACAACCCAGACCGCCAGCUAAGGUCCCAAAGUCAUGGUUAAGUGGGAAACGAUGUGGGAAGGCACAGACAGCCAGGAUGUUGGCUUAGAAGCAGCCAUCAUUUAAAGAAAGCGUAAUAGCUCACUGGUCGAGUCGGCCUGCGCGGAAGAUGUAACGGGGCUAAACCAUGCACCGAAGCUGCGGCAGCGACGCUUAUGCGUUGUUGGGUAGGGGAGCGUUCUGUAAGCCGUUGAAGGUGUGCUGUGAGGCAUGCUGGAGGUAUCAGAAGUGCGAAUGCUGACAUAAGUAACGAUAAAGCGGGUGAAAAGCCCGCUCGCCGGAAGACCAAGGGUUCCUGUCCAACGUUAAUCGGGGCAGGGUGAGUCGACCCCUAAGGCGAGGCCGAAAGGCGUAGUCGAUGGGAAACAGGUUAAUAUUCCUGUACUUGGUGUUACUGCGAAGGGGGGACGGAGAAGGCUAUGUUAGCCGGGCGACGGUUGUCC
rnacentral:rRNA from 1 species